rnacentral:rRNA from 1 species
AUUGAACGCUGGCGGCAUGCCUUACACAUGCAAGUCGAACGGUAACGCGGGGCAACCUGGCGACGAGUGGCGAACGGGUGAGUAAUACAUCGGAACGUGCCCAGUAGUGGGGGAUAGCCCGGCGAAAGCCGGAUUAAUACCGCAUACGACCUACGGGUGAAAGCGGGGGAUCGCAAGACCUCGCGCUAUUGGAGCGGCCGAUGUCAGAUUAGCUAGUUGGUGGGGUAAAAGCCUACCAAGGCGACGAUCUGUAGCUGGUCUGAGAGGACGACCAGCCACACUGGGACUGAGACACGGCCCAGACUCCUACGGGAGGCAGCAGUGGGGAAUUUUUGGACAAUGGGGGGCAACCCUGAUCCAGCCAUGCCGCGUGCGGGAAGAAGGCCU